CGCUAGCGGCAGGCCUAAUACAUGCAAGUCGAACGGUGUCUUCGGACAUAGUGGCGCACGGGUGCGUAACACGUAUGCAACCUACCUUACAUUGGGGGAUAGCCUUUCGAAAGGGAGAUUAAUACCGCAUAAGACAGUAGCUGGGCAUCCAGCAGCUGUUAAAGAUUUAUCGAUGUAAGAUGGGCAUGCGACCAAUUAGUUAGUUGGCGAGGUAACGGCUCACCAAGACUAUGAUUGGUAGGGGAACUGAGAGGUCAAUCCCCCACACUGGCACUGAGAUACGGGCCAGACUCCUACGGGAGGCAGCAGUAGGGAAUAUUGGGCAAUGGACGCAAGUCUGACCCAGCCAUGCCGCGUGCAGGAUGAAGGCGUUAUGCGUCGUAAACUGCUUUUAUACAGGAAGAAACGACUCUUGCGAGAGGCAUUGACGGUACUGUAUGAAUAAGCACCGGCUAACUCCGUGCCAGCAGCCGCGGUAAUACGGAGGGUGCAAGCGUUGUCCGGAUUUAUUGGGUUUAAAGGGUGCGCAGGUGGUUUAUUAAGUCAGUGGUGAAAGACGGUCGCUCAACGAUUGCAGUGCCAUUGAAACUAGUAGACUUGAGUAAAGUAGAGGUGGGCGGAAUUGAUAGUGUAGCGGUGAAAUGCAUAGAUAUUAUCAAGAACUCCAAUUGCGUAGGCAG
rnacentral:rRNA from 1 species